rnacentral:rRNA from 1 species
CAGCCGCCACGGUAAUACGGAGGAUCCAAGCGUUAUCCGGAAUCAUUGGGUUUAAAGGGUCCGUAGGCGGUCUUGUAAGUCAGUGGUGAAAGCCCAUCGCUCAACGGUGGAACGGCCAUUGAUACUGCAGGACUUGAAUUAUUGGGAAGUAACUAGAAUAUGUAGUGUAGCGGUGAAAUGCUUAGAGAUUACAUGGAAUACCAAUUGCGAAGGCAGGUUACUACCAAUUGAUUGACGCUGAUGGACGAAAGCGUGGGUAGCGAACAGGAUUAGAUACCCGUGUAGUCCCUGUCUCUUAUAA